ACGGCUACAGGUGUUUCUCCUACAUGCAUGACUGAUGAGCUGAGCGGAAUAGUUUCCGGUACCGCUACCGCUGCUACCGGUUUUGUUCAACUUGGUUGAGGUGUUGAGUUGAAGUUGAGUUCCAGGCAGACUUAACAUAACAGACAUAUAUUUGUUCUUGUUGAGGCGAAAAACAUUGCAAAGAAAUUCUGACGUGGACGUGUCGGUCGGGUUGUAUUUUUGAUUUUUGUAGUGUCAUUGGUGUGGUGGUAGCUUGAUCCUGUUUUGAAACUCCUGAAGGUGCUGGAAAUACAUAAAAUUGUAAAAGGAUGGCCGAAGGAAGAUUAGAUUUUUUGAUAUUUGGGGCCACUGGUUUUACUGGUUUACACUGUAUUCCCUAUGUAUACAAAUUCGCUAAAGAAAAUGGAAGAAAUAUGGCAUGGGGUGUUGCUGGACGUUCAGAGGAAAGACUCAAGGAAGCUCUCGAAAAAAUGGGAAAGAAAGUUGAUGCCGACCUAUCAGAAAUAUCCAUUAUUGUAGCUGACGUUAAGGAUUAUGACUCUUUGGUUAAGAUGGCUAAAAGGGCAAAGGUAGUAAUUAACUGUUGUGGUCCAUUCAGAUUCUUUGGAUAUCCUGUCGUAAAAGCUUGCGUAGAGGCUGGUACUCACUAUGUGGAUGUAUGUGGGGAACCACAGUUUAUUGAAACUGUUGAGUUGGAGUAUAAUGAACUUGCUCGUGAGAAAGGUAUUUACAUCGUAAGUGCAUGUGGCUUGGACAGCAUCCCCUGCGAUCUGGGUUUGUUAUACUUGGAAGACAAAUUUGAUGGCGUUAUCAACUCAGCUGUAACUUACAUAAGUACCUGGAACGAAGAUAAAAAUUCGUCCGGUCCUGCUGUCAGUUAUGGGACAUGGCACAGCCUCGUUUAUGGACUUAAACAUGCCAAGGAAUUGUCGAGUAUAAGAAGAAAACUGUACCCUACGAAAUUGCCAAAUUUUAAACCUAAAUUGGAGACUACAACAAGACCCCACCGUUCAAGUAUCGCAAAUGGUUGGGCCCUACCAUUCCCAGGUGCCGACAAAUCAAUAAUGAAGAGGACUCAACGAUAUCUGUACGAACACCAGGAUAAAAGACCAAUACAAGUGGACACGUUCUUUAGGUUAUCAAAUUUUAUACAGACCUUCGUGAUGAUUAUUAUGUUUUUCGUUUGGUCAUUGUUUGUAAAAUUCGACUACGGCAAACAGCUAUUAUUGGACUAUCCUCACAUAUUUACGUUCGGAAUGUUCAGAAAAGACGUCACACCGUCAGAAGAGACGAUCGACUCAAGCUGGUUCAAGAUAACUUUCCAAGUCAUAGGAUGGAAAGAAAAACUAGCCAAUAAGGACGAUCAGUACGAUACUCCUCCAAAUAAAAUUGUCACUGCGUACAUUAAAGGAAAAAAUCCAGCAUACGGUACUACUUGCGCUUGCGUCGUUGGAGCUGCUCUCAUGAUACUUACCGAGAAAGAUAAAUUACCACCCAGUGGAGGUGUAUACACUCCUGGAGUGGCCUUUAGAAAGACCUCAUUGAUGGAGCUCCUCUUCAAAAAUGACGUGUCGUUUGAGAUUGUGAGCGAAAAAGUGUUGUAAAUCAUAUGUACUCAAUAUAUUUAAUGCAUAUAUUAGCUUGAAAUAAAUAUUUAAUGUUAACCAUGAUCUGUUUUUACGUAAUAUUUUGUGACCUAGUUUACAUAUUAACUUAUAGUUGCAAUCAAGUUAUUGCAGUAAACCUUAAUAUGCAGCUAAUUACAAAUUUAUUUUUGUUUGAGUAUUGUGGUUAAGCUUCCGGCACAGGUAGAAAGUAAGAAAUGUUAAAGAAAAAUUAUUGGAAGAAAAUCCUUUGUAAAAGGUAUAAAAACUUUUAUUAAAAUCACUUUAAGGGCUACAUCACAACAAAACGCUUUUGAUUUUCUUACAAAAUCAUCAUCAGUGUAAUAUUAAACCUAAAAAUAAGUAUAACCGUUUUAAUGAAUACAAAGUUGAUAUUUGUUGAUGUUAAUCUUUUGUACAUUUAAUUAUUAUACCUGCUCUUAUGUAUGUUUACCUCUUGAAACUUAAAAUUAAGGUUUUCUGCAACAACUUGAUGGCGACUGUAGUUCAACUUAAGUUGAGAUAUAAGUAAAGUCAAUUAAAUCAUGGCAUAGGUGGUUCCAUGACAUCUCGUAACGCGACAGUUCAUAACCGGACAGUUGGUAAUGGACAAUUCAUAAUAGUGACAGUUCGUAACGGCGACAGUUCGUAACUAUACAAAUUCGUAACGGACAGUUCGUAACCUCCAAAUUGAAUUAUUCUGUUUAUUGUUGUUAACGUGGAAACUAACUGUUACUACAGUUAUAAAUGAAAUUAUGUUUAUCAAUUUAACGAAUCAGUAUCAGGAUAAACAUUUUAAGGCAUUUCAUAUUUCUUGUUUCAGAAUAUAAUAAAAGUAGUUAAACCAAGUACCUAUUAAAGUAUUACAAGCCAUCCCUCUAUCAACUAUAACCGUUGAUUGAAUGCCCCAAAGCUAUUACCAAUCACAAGGUUUAUUAUAAUAACAGGUAAUUAUAAUCUUUCCUUUACAAAAUGUUUAUUUAAAAAGUUUGGAAUGUCUAAAGACGGUUGUAAGAUUAGAGAUUUCAGGAAUUAAGUACUUGAUUGUUCCUUUGUCUAGGUAUAUGCAAAUUUAAGGAACAAUAAGAGUGAUAAAAUUUUAAAAAUAGUGUUAAAAGUUUCUAUGUAUUUAAAUAUAUUUGUUUGUGUUUAAAGACUUUUAAUAGAUAUUCUGAAACACGAAAUAUAAAAAGUGUUAAACAUGUUUAUCCGUACUGAUUCGUUAAAUUGAUAAACAUAAUUUCAAUUAUAACUGUAAUAACAGUUAGUUUCCAAAAUUAACAAAAAUAAACAUAAUAAUUCAAUUUGGACGUUACGAAUUGUCCGUCACGAAUUUGUAUAGUUACGAACUGUCGUCGUUACCAAGUGUCGCCGUUACGAACUGUCGCUGUUACGAAUUGUCCGUUACCAACUGUCCGGUUACGAACUGUCGCGUUACGAGGUGUCUGUCACGGGCAUAGGUACAUAUAUUUUUAUAUAAUAAGCAUUUAGACAUUCUACUAGUUUAAUGGGUUUGUUAAUGACAGUAUAGAGUACUACUAACAUAACAGGUCGUGGAAGCUAUGCAUUUAUGAGUUUACUUAAUAGUUUUGUUUCCACGAUCUCUGCUUUCUUGGCCAUACCUUUAAACAUUAAUAUUAAUAAACAUAUUAUGUAUUUUUUUAUAUUAUACUUGUAUACCUUAAUUUAUUUUAGUGUAAGUGUACUUAUAGGUGGCUAGUGACUAGAAAAUAAUUAUUUUUCUCACAAUGAAUGAAUUAACAGUAUUUAAAUCUUAAUUAAUAUUGAGAUUUAAGAAAAAUAACACUUUUCUUAACAUAAAUUGAUAUUUAUAAUGUUUAAUUUAUGUUGUUUUAACUAAUUGGUUAGUAGUAAUAAAACAUGUAUUUCUGUGUU
rnacentral:misc_RNA from 1 species